AACGAACGCUGGCGGCAUGCCUAACACAUGCAAGUCGAACGAGAUCUUCGGGUCUAGUGGCGCACGGGUGCGUAACGCGUGGGAAUCUGCCCUUUGGUUCGGAAUAACAGUUGGAAACGACUGCUAAUACCGGAUGAUGACGAAAGUCCAAAGAUUUAUCGCCAGAGGAUGAGCCCGCGUAGGAUUAGCUAGUUGGUGUGGUAAAGGCGCACCAAGGCGACGAUCCUUAGCUGGUCUGAGAGGAUGAUCAGCCACACUGGGACUGAGACACGGCCCAGACUCCUACGGGAGGCAGCAGUGGGGAAUAUUGGACAAUGGGCGAAAGCCUGAUCCAGCAAUGCCGCGUGAGUGAUGAAGGCCUUAGGGUUGUAAAGCUCUUUUACCCGGGAUGAUAAUGACAGUACCGGGAGAAUAAGCUCCGGCUAACUCCGUGCCAGCCGCCGCGGUAA
rnacentral:rRNA from 1 species